AGGACGAACGCUGGCGGCGUGCUUAACACAUGCAAGUCGAGCGGAAAGGCCACUUCGGUGGUACUCGAGCGGCGAACGGGUGAGUAACACGUGAGUAAUCUGCCCUCCACUUUGGGAUAGCCACCGGAAACGGUGAUUAAUACCGGAUAUGACCUUGGCCCGCAUGGGUUGUGGUGGAAAGUUUUUCGGUGGGGGAUGUGCUCGCGGCCUAUCAGCUUGAUGGUGGGGUAAUGGCCUACCAUGGCUUCGACGGGUAGCCGGCCUGAGAGGGUGACCGGCCACGACUGGGACUGAGACACGGCCCAGACUCCUACGGGAGGCAGCAGUGGGGAAUAUUGGACAAUGGGCGGAAGCCUGAUCCAGCAACGCCGCGUGAGGGAUGACGGCCUUCGGGUUGUAAACCUCGUUUCAGCACAGACGAAGCGAAAGUGACGGUAUGUGCAGAAGAAGCACCGGCCAACUACGUGCCAGCAGCCGCGGU
rnacentral:rRNA from 1 species